GGUGGGUUGGCUCAGUGGUUUAGAGCGUAGGGUCUCGUAUCCGAAAGGUUGCGGGAUCGAAUCCCGCUAGAGGCUG
rnacentral:tRNA from 1 species